UUUAGAAACCACAAGCAUGCCACAUGAACUUCAAAACAGAAUACAGCAGUUUGGAACCCAAUUCUGCAAACCACAGCUCUAAACAGACAACUGCAAUAUGAGGAAUGGGAUCCAGCCAGAAGAAAGUGAUUGAACAGUGAAGGCCUAAUUCUGUAGCACCACACCAUGAAAACCUCUAAACCUCCUGCAAAAGUGAACUGUCACAGCCUUCAUGCAUCUUAGUGAGGACAAUACAUUACAUUGCUGGAUUGGAGCAAUGCCUGCUAAGUGAAAUAAUCCUGCCCAGGACUGAAGAUAAUCACUAGA